AAACCCUAGGUGGGAAAAAUCAAAGAGAAAGUGUUGGAAUUCAAGGAUUUGAUCAAGCAAAGGUAAAAUUUCUUUGAUUUUGCUAGUGAUUUACCUUACCCAUGCAUUUUUUCUUAAUUUUCAUGGUUAAAUUACAUGUUUUAAUGAUGAAUUCAUGGCUGGUCAAAAUGGGUAAGGAGAGAGAAAGAUGUUGGAUUGAAUUGAUUUUAAGAUAUGUUAGUGUUUUUAGUUAGUUUAGCAUAUUUAGAAGCAAAACAACAAGAAAAGAAUCUAUUUUCCCCAUGAAUCUUUAUUGGCCGAAUCUUCCUUGAUGUGUGUGGGUGAUGGAUUAUUAUUAUUUCAAGAGAAAUGGCUUAGAAAAUGAUGAAUAAUGGUGAGAAAAUUAAGUAGGAAAAAUCACGGUGUUAGUGCACUGUAAUGGUCGAAUUUUUCCAUGAAGAAAUGUGAAGGUUUUGAUGCUGAAAUUGGUUUUAUUUGAAUAAUGUUUGGUGAAUUGAGGUAUUAGAAAUGAAAUGGAGCAAUUUGGAGCCAAAUCGGACAUAAUUAUCAUUUAAUCGGGUGAUAGGCCGAAUUAGGUCAGCACUGCAUUUAAGCGAUAGUCAGAUAAGUUGCAUAUCAUAUCAUGCAUAUACACCAAGCCUGAAUUGAUUUUAUAAUGGUCAAGCAUUAAUGUGAUGAAUUAUGUAUUGUACAUUGUGGAUAGGUGGUGAGUAAAUUACAUGGUAAAAGUACAGAGAUUGUGCUUGAAGACUGGGAUUAGGAGUACAUCGACUCCUAGAACUAUGAGUAAACUUAUUAUCGUCUUAAUUAUCUAGAGUAGUUUUAUACAAUUGUGUGAUUUUAUAGAAAAUGGGUUUAAAUGGUAAAUUGUUACGUUUUAGGAGAAAUUGUGAUUUUAUAAAAUGAUUUUAUAAAUUUUUUGAAAAAUUGAAUACUGGUUUUGAAAAUAGAGUAAUUGGAGACUGCCUGCUUGUGUUAUAAAUUGUGUUUUAAAUUAUAUGGCUUAUAACAAUAUGUGAGCAUGAAUGGUAAAGUCGGUAUUUGUAUCAAAAUUAUAUAUACUAUGUAUUCAGCCUUGAGAGGCUAGAUUGCGAUAAAUUGCCAUGUCAUGCAGAUAAGGAUUUUAUAAAUCAGGUGGUAGAUAAAAUAAUCCAUAGUCACUGCAGUGGUGGGGGUUUCCGUGGACUGCUUAUGAGAGGGGCACGGUAAUUCAGUUAUAUAUUUACCUCCGGGGGAAGAUGUUGGAUGAAGUAUCUCUUGAGAUAAAGAUUUGAGUGCACUUCACGUGGACCAUCGCAUGAGAGUGAGACUCAACCAACGCCAAGGAACGACUGUGUGUCAGAUGCGAAAACAUGUUUAUGGGUAUGGGACAUUUAACAGCCUUGGCAGUCUCAGUGGGAUACCUUGACGAAGGUACCCGCGAGAAUGAUUUUGGCAGGAGCCAAGUUUUGUGAAAUAUAUGAAACAUAUAUUGGAAAAGAAUAUUUUAAUUCGUCUCCAUUUACUCGCCUUUAGAUAGUUUAGAUGGUGACGGUUUACUCACUGGGAUUUUACAAUCUCACCACCCUCAUUUCCUCACAUUUCAGGCUCGAGGAAUUCCAUAGUUAGCUGACUUUAACAAGGACCUUCAUUUGGACUUGAACUGGCAAAAGCUGUAGGUUUUCAGCUUUCGAUACAUUUUGGUUAGAUGUGGGCCCACGUGUCGUUGUAAAAGUAAUUUUAUGCUUUG
rnacentral:lncRNA from 1 species